UACGUAGGGGGCGAGCGUUGUCCGGAAUCAUUGGGCGUAAAGCGCGCGUAGGCGGCCCGGUAAGUCCGCUGUGAAAGUCCAGGGCUCAACCCUGGGAUGCCGGUGGAUACUGGCGGGCUCGAGUCCGGAAGAGGCGAGUGGAAUUCCUGGUGUAGCGGUGGAAUGCGCAGAUAUCAGGAGGAACACCAAUGGCGAAGGCAGCACUCUGGGACGUGACUGACGCUGAGACGCGAAAGCGUGGGGAGCAAACAGG
rnacentral:rRNA from 1 species